GAUGAACGCUGGCGGCGUGCCUAACACAUGCAAGUCGAACGGAGAUUUGACGCUGCAGAGACUUCGGUCAAAGCUUGUUAAAUCUUAGUGGCGGACGGGUGAGUAACGCGUGGGCAACCUGCCUCGUACUGGGGGAUAACAGUUGGAAACGACUGUUAAUACCGCAUAAGCGCACGGUAUCGCAUGAUACAGUGUGAAAAACUCCGGUGGUACGAGAUGGGCCCGCGUCAGAUUAGCCAGUUGGCGGGGUAACGGCCCACCAAAGCGACGAUCUGUAGCCGGACUGAGAGGUCGGACGGCCACAUUGGGACUGAGACACGGCCCAAACUCCUACGGGAGGCAGCAGUGGGGGAUAUUGCACAAUGGGCGAAAGCCCUGAUGCAGCGACGCCGCGUGAGUGAAGAAGUAUUUCGGUAUGUAAAGCUCUAUCAGCAGGGAAGAAAAGAACUCGUAAGAGAGAUGACGGA
rnacentral:rRNA from 1 species